UACGUAGGGUGCAAGCGUUGUCCGGAAUUAUUGGGCGUAAAGAGCUCGUAGGCGGUUUGUCGCGUCUGCUGUGAAAACCCGAGGCUCAACCUCGGGCCUGCAGUGGGUACGGGCAGACUAGAGUGGCGGUAGGGGAGAUUGGAAUUCCUGGUGUAGCGGUGGAAUGCGCAGAUAUCAGGGAGGAACACCGAUGGCGAAGGCAGAUCCUUCUGGGCCGUAACUGACGCUGAGGAGCGAAAGCAUGGGGGAGCGAACAGG
rnacentral:rRNA from 1 species